UGUUUGAUGUUCUAACGUGGACCCGUGAUCCGGGUUGCGGACAGUGUCUGGUGGGUAGUUUGACUGGGGCGGUCUCCUCCUAAAGAGUAACGGAGGAGCACGAAGGUUGGCUAAUCCUGGUCGGACAUCAGGAGGUUAGUGCAAUGGCAUAAGCCAGCUUGACUGCGAGCGUGACGGCGCGAGCAGGUGCGAAAGCAGGUCAUAGUGAUCCGGUGGUUCUGAAUGGAAGGGCCAUCGCUCAACGGAUAAAAGGUACUCCGGGGAUAACAGGCUGAUACCGCCCAAGAGUUCAUAUCGACGGCGGUGUUUGGCACCUCGAUGUCGGCUCAUCACAUCCUGGGGCUGAAGUAGGUCCCAAGGGUAUGGCUGUUCGCCAUUUAAAGUGGUACGCGAGCUGGGUUUAGAACGUCGUGAGACAGUUCGGUCCCUAUCUGCCGUGGGCGCUGGAGAACUGAGGGGGGCUGCUCCUAGUACGAGAGGACCGGAGUGGACGCAUCACUGGUGUUCGGGUUGUCAUGCCAAUGGCACUGCCCGGUAGCUAAAUGCGGAAGAGAUAAGUGCUGAAAGCAUCUAAGCACGAAACUUGCCCCGAGAUGAGUUCUCCCUGAGACUUUAGGUCUCCUGAAGGAACGUUGAAGACGACGACGUUGAUAGGCCGGGUGUGUAAG
rnacentral:rRNA from 1 species